rnacentral:lncRNA from 1 species
GGUUGGUGGGGACCUGCCUCCUGCCCACCCCGGCUGGUGUCCCAGGGCCACCGUGGGGGGUCCUCUGUGACAUCGCUGUGGAGCUGGAAAGGGGUUUGCGCCAUGCGGUGCUGGCUCCUGCUGCUGGCCCUGCUGCUGGGGGCUGCCCUCUCACCCCACCAGAGGUAAUGGCAUUUCCUUCCUCUUCCUCCUCCUCCUCCUCCCUGCCCCCCUCCCCAUCUUGGGGGGGCUGGUGGGGGUAUUUUUAGGGUGCCCCCCCUCCAUUACUCCCCCCCCUUGCAGUCUACGCCUCCAUCAGCCUCUACCUGCUCCCCGAGCGCCCCGCCACCCUCAUCCUCUACGAGGACCUGGUCCAAAUCCUCCUGGGAUCCCCAGGUGCCCGGGGGCAGCCGUGGGCACAGUUCCCCCGGCGGGCAGCCCGCCUGCCCCGCAGCUCCACGUACAGCCAGCUCGCCGCGUCCCUCACCGCCGCCACCGGGCCCAGCCUGGCACGGGCCUUCCCCGCCUUCCUGGGGGCCGAGCAGGACGGCAGCGCCAAUGCCACCUGGCUGGAGCUGGCCCCCGUGGCGGCUCUCAGCGUCCACCUCUUCACCGGCAACGGGACGGAGGUGCCGCUGGCCGGCCCCAUCCAUCUCUCCGUCCCUUUGGCUCCCGACGCCGGGCCCGUGGUGGCCACCAGCGUGCCAGCCUGGAGGUUUGACCCCAAGAGCGGUGAGAGUUGGUUGGAGGGGACGGGGGGACGGGGGACAGGGGUGGCACGGCUCCUGCCAGGGAUGGCGGCGGUAGGGGUGAUGAGUUUGGGGGGGUCUCAGCCCGCUGCUGGGGGCCUGGGGGGGACGGGAUGGAUGUGUGUCCCUGC